CAUAAUUACUUGAUCCCAGAUAUUUAGACUCAACGUCUUUGGGAUUUGCGAGAAAUAAAGCAAGGACAGCAUGGAACAAGCGACACAACAAGAAGUUGAUAGAAAACACCUAAAUCGUAGCAGGAGCAAACGAGUUGCAGGAUGGUCAAGGGACUCCUCAAAGAGACGUUGACAAGGAGUAAGGAGCAGAAGUGAACAAGAGACACAACAAGAAACCUCUUGAGGAUCUCCGAAAAAUAACGGAAGUUUGCAUGGAGCAAGAGGCACAACAAUAAGUUGACAAAAUACAGCCAAAACGGAUGGUCAAGGAACACCGUAAAGAGACGUUGAGAAGCAGUGAGGGGCAGAAGGAAAUCAGAGACACAACAAGAAAGGGCUGAACCUCUUGAGGAUCUCCGAAAAAUAAUGGAUGUUUGCAUGGAACAAGAGACACAACAAUAAGUUGACAAAA